GCUGGGCGUGGUGGCGCGUGCCUGUAAUCCCAGCUACUCAGGAGGCUGAGGCAGGAGAAUCGCUUGAACCCAGGAGGUGGAGGUUGCAGUGAGCCGAGAUGGUGCCAUUGCACUCUAGCCUGGGUGACAGAGUGAGACUCUGUCUCAA
rnacentral:SRP_RNA from 1 species